GGGGGUGCCCUGGUUUCGACGGGGAUUGGAAGCGAAGGUGGCAUGCCGGGGACGCCAGUGGGCCUCGUUAAAAAACUGGCACUAAUACAAACGCCGACACUGACGUUCGUUACGCACUGGCAGCUUAAUUGCUGCCACGUCUCUCCUCUCAUCGCCCGCGUGGGUUCAGAGACGUCAAUUUAGCUGGCUAGUCUUGGUGAGGGUCUGUGGCGCCAAGACGAAAUUAAAGCAGAAUCGCUCGUUGCAUAUCCUGUCUGUGGGAGCUGUCCCGAGUUAAAUUCAAUACAUAGACUAAGCAUGUAGAAGCCUUGCGUGAAAGAUUUUCGGACGCGGGUUCGAUUCCCGCCACCUCCACCA
rnacentral:tmRNA from 1 species